AGCUCAGAUGGAAAUUAAGCAGGGGUGACAUUAUGGGCAAUGCUUGGAAGAUGGCAGCUACUUUUGGGUUGGUGACCUACAAAGACUUCUCUGAGAUGAUGACAUUUAAGCUAAGAUUUGCGUGUCAAGAAGGAAAUAAGCAUAGGAAGAUAAAGGGGGAGCAGCUGUGACCAUAAUGCAGAGAAUUCCUGUGAUCCGGUACACAGAAAAAUAUCAAGAGAAGUUAAAUUUUAAAAUGAUGGACCUUUUCUAAUUAGAUUACUUCUGAUCAAUACAAUGUCUGAUUUUUAUAAGAUGUCAACUAAAAUUCAAAUUCAGAUGUCAAAAAGGUUUAAAUAACCCUCCCUCCGAUCUCUAGAAAAAGAAUAAAGAUCAGGAUUUUCAAGGGCCAUGGCUUAUAACAGCCCAAUACAGCUAUAAAACCUACAUACAGAGUUAGGAUCUAUGUGAUGUUACAUCAGAGUAAAAGAAGAAAAUGUAUUCAAUAUUGUUUUUUAGAAAGUCAUUCUAUUGUAAUUUAUGAUUCUCAUAUCCAUUAGUAUUACAGAAAUGUCACUCUCAAUAAUUUUAUGUUUUAAUCACAAAAAUGUUAAGCUUAGAAUAAGAUUUUUUUUUCUAACUGGUGGAUUGUUUUCUAUUUCCCCAUGCUAGAGAAAAUGUUAGAUUGCUAAUGUUAAUACAUAAGAUAGGAUUGAUAUUACGAUGAAUUCCUAAAACAGCUGAUCUUUGAUUUAAAAUGCUUAUGGUGUUUCUAUAAUUUAGUCCUAAGAGGA